UACGUAGGGCGCAAGCGUUGUCCGGAAUCAUUGGGCGUCAAGAGCUCGUAGGUGGUCUGUUACGUCUGCUGUGAAAUCCUAGGGCUUAACCCUGGGCCUGCAGUGGAUACGGGCAGACUAGAGGUAGGUAGGGGAGAAUGGAAUUCCCGGUGUAGCGGUGAAAUGCGCAGAUAUCGGGAGGAACACCGGUGGCGAAGGCGGUUCUCUGGGCCUUACCUGACACUGAGGAGCGAAAGCGUGGGGAGCGAACAGG
rnacentral:rRNA from 1 species